rnacentral:antisense_RNA from 1 species
GCGGCGAUUCAAUAUAUCCGGAAGCAACUGUCAUGGCUGCUGUCAGUGAGGGCCCGUAAUGGAGAUCGAGUCAAGGGUUGCCCAGGGACACUUAAGAGCCUUCGGCUUCAAGGAGGCCUCUCAAAGGACAAAGGAUGAGACUGCCUGGCGGCAGAGUGCCCCCCACAAUCGUAGGAACUGUGUCGCCGCGCUUCCCGUUAACUUGCCGCUAAGUUUUUCUAGAAAAGUCGCCCUUCUUGCCAGGGGUGUCCUAUAGACUUUGUCAUGGAGUGAAACAGAAACAAAUAUGAAACAAAGCUUCCUAUGCCAAAUUCCAGCUUAGGAAGGAUUUGUCGCAAAAUAAAAGUACACUGUCGAUUCCAAUGUGUUGGGUGUUUAGGUCGCCAUUCCAUCACUUUACUCUUCAGAGUCCUUUCGAUCCUAAGAUAUGCAUGACUCUUGGCCAGUGAUUCUCAACCUCGGCUGCACAUUGGCAUCAACUGGGGAACCUUCAAAGCUCCUGGCAUGUGGGUUCCACCCUCAGAGAUUGUGAUGUAAUGCACUGACAGUCAAAUUGGGAACAACUGUAAAUUGGCUCAGUUCAUUCAUCUUUUAUUGCUGUACAGAAGAUUUCAUUGUAUAAGUACUUCACAACUCAUGUACUGAUUUCUAGUUGAUGAACUGUUUCAAAUUUUUGUUAUUUCAAGCAAUUCUCUAAUGAAUGUUGUUGUACUUGUCUCCCCGUGAAUGUUCCUCUGAGGUAUAUACUGAGAAGUUUGAAUUGGCAGAUCAAAGGUUGAGCAUCUUCACCUUUACCAGGUAUUAUCAACAUAUUGUUUUCCAAAGCAUUUACAGAAAUGUGUGCUCCCACCACUUCUCUGCCUCUUUGACAACACUCAGUAUGAUCACACAUUUUUUUUUGCCAAUUUUAUGCAUGUGAAAUAAUUUUAUUGUUUUAGUUGUUUAUUUAUCUUAGAGAAAAGGUCUUGCAGUAGGCUCCUAGGCUGGAGUGCAGUGGUGCGAUCAUAGCUCACUGUAACCUCAACCUCCUGGGCUCAAACAGUCCUCUCACCUAAGCGUCCUGAGUAGCUGGGACUACACUUGCGCAUCAUCACCAUGCCUGGGUAGUUCUUUUGUUUUUAUUUUUAGAGACAGGGUCUUGCUAUGCUGCCCAGGCUGGUCUCGAACUCCUGGCCUCAAGUGAUCCUCAUGGCUUGACUGCCCCAAGUGUUGGGAUUACAGGCAUAAGCCACCAUGUCCAGCAAUUGUUUUAUUGUUUUAAAUUGUAUUUACUUGAUUAUGAGUGAGGUUUAGCAUGUAAGUUACUGCUUCUAUGAAUUGUCUUUUGCCUAAUUUUUCUAUUGUUCUUUUGCUCUCUCUUAUCCUUUCUCUCUCUCUCCCUCCCUCCCUCUGGGCUCCUGUCUCCUCAUUUGUGGACUGUGCAAUUGCCGACACCCUGCCACAGCUUGGCCCUCAAUCCAGAAACAGCUGUUGACAUGGUAUUUCUAGUGCCUUCCCAAAGUAAUACUGAGUACAUCACAGAUCCAUUAGCCAACCCAUGUAGUGAUUGAGUUACUUCUUGGUCUCCUGUACCCUGAGCCCCAGACAGUGAGUCUACAGCUUUCCUUCCCAUCUCCUUUCAAAAAUAGGGAAGUAAAGUAGCCCCACCACAGUCCCUGUCUUUAAAAAGUGAUGCUUGCUCUGGUUCUCUGGCUUUCAUGAAGCAUUUUCAGAUCUUGCUGCCAUCCCUGCUCCAGCCUACUCACUGCUAGUGUUUCUGUCCUGUUUCUAUUCCGUGAGACAACUAUCAUGGUUGGGAGUCCAGAAAGCUUUUUGUCAAUUUUUCUACUUGAUCCUUACCAUAGAUAUGGCGCAGGAGGGCUAGGUCAGAGUUAGAACUUACUACACAUCUUGAACAUUAUAUGUUAUGUUUUAUGAUGAAAAAAUUUUAAAUUCUAUUUUAGCAUCUAAAUUUGCAUUUGAGAUGUCACUUUCUUCUCAAUUUAUUUUUUCUGCAAGUAGGGGAAAGAGCCCGUGAGCUGGAUGGCAGAGAAAACUCGUUUUUAAAUUAAUAUUGCCAAAUAUUUCAGUAACCAACCAACUAUAAAACAUAAUAAGAGCUGUCACAAUUAGUAAAGAUUAGAAGCAAUGGUAACUCUCAUACAGACACCCCUGGGAAAAUAUGAUUUACCUGUAUGCUUUGUAUUUUUGUUCCUUGAACGUUUUUUGGAAGCAACUGCUUCCAGAAACUUUCCUUUGAAUAGUCAAAAAAUACAGCCAUUGGUGUAUUAUUUUGUUGAAUAUUAAACCAGACCUAUGAAAACAUUAAUAUAACAUUAGUGUAGGUCCAUAGGAACACAAGGCCCAUUGUUGGUAAGGAAGGAGCAAAAUUUUACAGUCUUACUACUCAAUGAAGUGGCAGAAUCCCAGCGGGGUUCUGAGGCAGGAGAUAAAGAGAUUCUAGGGUUUCAUGAUCAUUAGACUACCUCAAUGGUUCUCAUCCUUGAAGGCACUACACAAUCACCUGGAGGAGCUUUAGUGAUAAAAGAUUGCCCCGGCCCCAUGCCCUAGGGAAUCUGAUAGACUAUCUAUAUUUAAAGUUCCCCAGGUGAUUCUAGUGUGUAGCCAGGGUGACUCUAGAGGAGAUAACUCAAGAUUUUUUUUUCCCCAUAUACUUACAUUUCUAUCAUCAAACAAACAAUCUACACUUUUUAAGGGACAAAACGGGUCAAACUGCUUAUAACAUUGGCCAGUUGAUGGAUUCCAAAGCAAAUAUUCAUUAGUUUCUUGAGUUACUACAUAAGCCACAUGCCCCUGUAUGAGAAAAAAGAAAGUAAUUUUUGGUGGAUUUAAAUAAUUUCUAUAUAUGGAAAUUAUACUGUGAUGAUUCUGAUUUUUAAAGCCUUUUUUAGUGGAGUGUGGUGGCUUAUGCCUGUAAUCCCGGCUCUUUGGGAGGCUGAGGUGGGAGGAUCACUUGAGCCCAGGAGUUUGAGACCAGCCUGGGCAACAUAAGGAAACCCUGUAUCUAUCACAAAAAAUUUUUUUUUAAAUUUGCUGGGCACAGCGGCACACACACCUGUAGUCCCAGCUACUUGGGAGGCUAAGGUGGGAGGAUCGCUUGAGCCUGAGGAGUUGAGACUGCAAUAAGCUGUGAUAAUGCCACUGCCCUAUAGCUUGGGUGACAGAGUGAGAUCCUGUCUCAAUAACAAACAAACAACAAAAAUAAAUAAAAGCCUUUUUGAGGGCUUUUACAUUUUCUUUGAAAUAAAAAAAAAAAAAGAAAGAAAAAGAAAAAA